GACGAACGCUGGCGGCGUGCUUAACACAUGCAAGUCGAACGGAAAGGCCCUGCUUUUGUGGGGUGCUCGAGUGGCGAACGGGUGAGUAACACGUGAGUAACCUGCCCUUGACUUUGGGAUAACUUCAGGAAACUGGGGCUAAUACCGGAUAGGAGCUCCUGCUGCAUGGUGGGGGUUGGAAAGUUUCGGCGGUUGGGGAUUGACUCGCGGCUUAUCAGCUUGUUGGUGGGGUAGUGGCUUACCAAGGCUUUGACGGGUAGCCGGCCUGGGAGGGUGACCGGCCACAUUGGGACUGAGAUACGGCCCAGACUCCUACGGGAGGCAGCAGUGGGGAAUAUUGCACAAUGGGCGGAAGCCUGAUGCAGCAACGCCGCGUGCGGGAUGACGGCCUUCGGGUUGUAAACCGCUUUCGCCUGUGACGAAGCGUGAGUGACGGUAAUGGGUAAAGAAGCACCGGCUAACUACGUG
rnacentral:rRNA from 1 species